rnacentral:rRNA from 1 species
CCUACGGGCGGCAGCAGUCGAGAAUCAUUCACAAUGGGGGAAACCCUGAUGGUGCGACGCCGCGUGGGGGAAUGAAGGUCUUCGGAUUGUAAACCCCUGUCAUGUGGGAGCAAAUUAAAAAGAUAGUACCACAAGAGGAAGAGACGGCUAACUCUGUGCAAGCAGCCGCGGUAAAACAGAGGUCUCAAGCGUUGUUCGGAAUCACUUGGCGUAAAGCGUGCGUAGGCGGUUUCGUAAGUCGUGUGUGAAAGGAGCGGGGUCAACCCGCGGAGGGCACAUGUUACUGCGAGACUAGAGUAAUGUGGGGGGAACCGGAAUUCUCGGUGUAGCAGUGAAAGGCGUAGAUAUCGAGAGGAACACUCGUGGCGAAGGCGGGUUCCUGGACAUUAACUGACGCUGAUGCACGAAGGCCAGGGGAGCGAAAGGGAUUAGAUACCCGGGUAGUC